GCGAUACUCUGCUGCUAGUGUUCGCCCACUGCUGCUCUCCGUGAAGUUUCAGGACAACAAGGCACAGGCUGGUGACAAAAAAAGAAACACCGUUUACCCUGGCUCAUUUACCUGAAGUCCAACCCACAAGACCAUACCGUGAAGAAUUUUUCACGGGAAGAAUCCACCAAUUUCUUCAUAUCAAGAUCUCAAAGAUAAUUGUGACGGCGCAUGUACGUGGUACCUAUGAUCGUUUCGAUCUAAUCUCCGUUGCGGCUCGAGAGCGAAGCAAAAAUCAUCACGGACCCUACUCGUGCAUAUGUGACUUCGAGGGUGUUUGGAUCCAAAAGACUAAAGCUAGUCUGACUAAAACUAGUCUCUUUAAGAGGCUAAAGUUUCAAACGCCCCUGACUAAAGAGAGGCUAAAACUAGUCUUGAGGCUAAAAUCUUUUAGUCCGGGGUACCCCUACUAAAAUGUGUAUUAGUCAUCUCUCUCCUCAUUUAACUCCUCAUGCAAGUUCUGGAUUUGAGGGUUUGGAGAAUAAUAAAUGCUCAUUAACUUGAUUUUAGUUUCUUUAGUACUUGGAUCCAAGCAUGGGUGAGGAUAGCAAGUUUUAGUCUCAUUACUUUUAGUCAUCGGACUAAAACGUAUCUAAGCACCCUCUUAUCGCUACAUCGGGUCUUUUAGUCAAAGUGAUGGCAACUCCAC
rnacentral:lncRNA from 1 species